CCUACGGGAGGCAGCAGUGGGGAAUUUUGGACAAUGGGCGCAAGCCUGAUCCAGCAAUGCCGCGUGCAGGAUGAAGGCCUUCGGGUUGUAAACUGCUUUUGUACGGAACGAAACGGUCUGCUUUAAUACAGUGGGCUAAUGACGGUACCGUAAGAAUAAGCACCGGCUAACUACGUGCCAGCAGCCGCGGUAAUACGUAGGGUGCGAGCGUUAAUCGGAAUUACUGGGCGUAAAGCGUGCGCAGGCGGUUAUAUAAGACAGAUGUGAAAUCCCCGGGCUCAACCUGGGACCUGCAUUUGUGACUGUGUAGCUAGAGUACGGUAGAGGGGGAUGGAAUUCCGCGUGUAGCAGUGAAAUGCGUAGAUAUGCGGAGGAACACCGAUGGCGAAGGCAAUCCCCUGGACCUGUACUGACGCUCAUGCACGAAAGCGUGGGGAGCAAACAGGAUUAGAUACCCUGGUAGUCCACGCCCUAAACGAUGUCAACUGGUUGUUGGGUCUUCACUGACUCAGUAACGAAGCUAACGCGUGAAGUUGACCGCCUGGGGAGUACGGCCGCAAGGUCGAAACUCAAAGGAUUGACGG
rnacentral:rRNA from 1 species